rnacentral:rRNA from 1 species
AGCGAACGCUGGCGGCGUGCCUAACACAUGCAAGUCGAACGUGAAAAGGGAAACCUGAGUAAAGUGGCGUACGGGUGAGUAACGCGUAGGUAAUCUACCCCAGAAUCUGGAAUAACCUGCCGAAAGGCGGGCUAAUACUGGAUAGAGCGAGGGAACUCGUAAGAGAGUUUUUCGGGAAAGGGAGCCCGCAAGGGCCCUCGUUCUGGGAUGAGCCUGCGUCUCAUUAGCUAGUUGGUAAGGUAACGGCUUACCAAGGCGAUGAUGAGUAGCUGGUCUGAGAGGAUGAUCAGCCACACUGGAACUGAAACACGGGCCAGACUCCUACGGGAGGCAGCAGUGGGGAAUCUUGCGCAAUGGACGAAAGUCUGACGCAGCCACGCCGCGGGAGUGAAGAAGGCCUUCGGGUUGUAAAGCUCUGUCGGAUGGGACGAACAUCUUCAUAGUGAAUAGCUAUGAGGACUGACGGUACCAUCAAAGGAAGCACCGGCUAACUCCGUG